AACAAAACGAACAAAACCUACAAAUCUUCUCUCUCCCGUAACUAACGAAAGCGAAACCCAGAUAAAGGACAUGCACAACCCCGCAACAUUGCGGAACAGGUAAGGUUUGACCCCAGCCGGCCACUGUUCCCGCCACAUUGUCACCUUCCAGAGUGCCCAGCGGUAGCGCCUUCUGCUCAGGUUGAUGACGUAUUUCCUGUUGGCUGAGCCGCGCGGAGAUCUCACUGAUGAACCUCAGCUCCUUGCAGGGCAACUCAGGCUUGGCAGGUGCUGGUCAUGGAAAGGGUCCUUUGCGAGUGGUACUGUUUCUGUCUUAACAAGAGGCUACAAUGGCAAAGAAAAACACUUCAGAAUUACCGUUUAGGAAGCCACGACUUGGAUAGGUUCUGUUCGUCACUGGCCCUCUCAUCCGGGA
rnacentral:lncRNA from 1 species